rnacentral:tRNA from 1 species
GCUCCGUUAGCUCAAUGGGAGAGCAUCGGUUUUACACACCGACACUGACCGUGUUCGAUCCACGGACGGAGUA